UUUGUUACUGAUCGAGGAGGCAUCUUAUACUCAUUUUUUUUUGAAUUUUUUUUCUAUUAAUUAAAUUAACUAAAUUGGUAUUAUAUAUUCUUAAUUUUUGUUUUUUAUCAGCAAAUAUUAAUUAUUAAUUUUAUUAGUUUUUUUUAGUAAAAAAAAAAUUGAAUCUAUAACCUCUCUUUUUCCUUCUUCCUUUAUCUAUCAAAUCAAUCUUAUAAUUAUUUGGUAUUCUUAAUUUUUGUUUAUAUGUAGAAUGUGACAUUGCACGGGCAAUGCAAAGUUUUCAGGGGUAAUAGCAAUGGUCCCUCUGAGUUGCUCUUUUCGGUGAAGAGAUCGUCAAUAAUCCCGAGUGGGAAGAUGAUUAGAUUAGAUGUCUUCCUUGAAAACAAGAGAAAAGGAAGCAUGUGUGAUUUUAGAGUCAUCGUUCGUGGAAGUAAAAAUUCAUGCACUAUUUAUGCCGGUGAAUCUCCAACUAUUGUUGCCAAGGUGUGUAUUGCAUGUGUUCUGGGCAUGUUUUUAUAUACACAUUAGUUUAAUUACCUAUCUAUUAUGGGUUUGGAUAAUUGCUGAUAUAAAGUGAUGUGUAAUUUAUAUUUAAAUAUUUUUAUGAUAAAAUUAAGUUAAGAGUAAAAUUUAGUAUAAUUUUUUAUUCUAGUUAGAAUUGCUUAACUCAGAAUCAAUUUUAGAUCCAAAAUCGAUUAUGAAUCUUUUUUAACAUAAAAUCAAACAUAUAAUUUUUGUUCUAAAAUCAAUUAUGAACUUGAAAAUAAUUUUUUUUUUUUGCUUUUAACUCAUAAUCAAUUCUAACCUGAAACAAAGCACACAUACUUUUUUCUUGAUAAUUAUCGGAAACCUUGAGCACACACAAAAUGAACAUUUCCCCUUUUAAUACGAUUUAUAACCUAAGGACAAAUUAUAAUUCGAACCCUAAACCACUUUUAUUGUGCCAAACUCUUAUUGAUCCAAACAAAUAAUUAAUACAACUGAAUGGAUAUAAUGACUACAUUUUAUCGCCCUCUUUCAUGUAGAUGGAGAAUAAUGGAGGCUUCAAAGUCUUGGUCUAUCCCAACGUGGACUACGCAUUCAUAGUGACACUACUUAUGAUUAUUGAUGACAUCAAAGAUUAUGAUGUGUUGGUAAAUGCGACGGUGAGUGGUGUCCUAACUGUGGCGACGGGGGGUAUCUUACCUAUUCUGACAUUGUUUGAGGGAGAAAAUUUAGAAGAAGAAACCUUAGAUGGAGAAAACUUAGAAGACGAAUACUUACAAGAAGGAGAAAACAACUCAGGUGGAGAAAACUUAGAUGGAGAAAACAACCCAGAAGGAGAAAAUUUAGAUGGAGAAAACUUAGAAGUAGAAAACAACUUCGAAGCUGAAACUUAGACGCAGCUUCGUAAGUGAGUGCUUGUGGUAUUGUUCUCUAAUUGGCAUUAAUGUUUAUGUAGUUUCAUGUCAAUAAUAAUCUGCAUAAUAAAGGUUUUCAUUAAAUGUCAAUGCAGAUUAGCCAGCUGGUUAAAUUCUUAUUAUGUCGUCGAAGUUUUAUUGUUGUAUAUGAAACAAAUUAAAAUUAAAUCUUGGGCACGAUUUUGGUUAGAACAGGUUGUAUCUUUUCAUUUUAGUGCAUGAAUAAAAUUGAGAAGAUAUUGUAAAUAAAAAAAGAUGUAAUAUUUUUCGUAGUUUUUUUAUAAAAAAAAUUGAGUAAUGAUAUUGGAACACUAUUAUUUUGAAUAUUUAUCAACACUUGUCAUUUUUUUUAUCUUUUUCUUUCUACCACGUCAAAUCACUAAUGCGUAUAAUAUGAAUGGACAAAAACAAAUAUAUCUUACAUAAUAUAGUAUCGAAGAUUAAGUGUCCGGAUAUCGAAUGCACGUGACUAAUUGUGUUCUUAAAAUAAUAUAUUUUAUUUUGCAACUAAGUAAUUGAGGAAAGAAAUUAAAUUAAGAUGGAUUGAUGAUCAAUUAUCUAAUGCAAGAUCAAAUCUAAACGAGUAAGAUAGUAUCGAGUAAGAUAGUAUGAAAGAGAAGAUGAUUUCAGGCAUACCAAUUCCACCAAUCCUAAUUCUAACAAGAUUCUUAGGAUUGUUAAUUGUCGAUUUUCUAAAGUCAAUUAUUAGUCAUUGAUUGUGGUCAAUUAUUAAUCAAUUUCCUAAUUAACCUACUAGAGGUUAUCCAACCAGUUUGGCAUGCAGUUUGAUAUAAAACACUUUUUUCCUAAUUCUACCAAUUACAUGUAAAUGAUCACUGUUAAGCAAUCAUUUAUGUAUUAGUAAGUCCAUUUCCACCAACCAAUUUGGUCAUGUAGUUUGGUAUAAAACACUUUCUUCCUAAUUCUACCAUUAAAUGCAAAUGAUUACUAUUAUGCAAUCAAUUAUGUAUUAGAACAUCCAUUUCCAAAAUAGAAAUUAAAAGUAAAGAAGAUAAUCAAUUAACUAAAUGACAUCGAGAAUUUCAUUAAAAUUAAGAAAGGAGUUCAAACUAGGUUACAUCAUAAUAAUCGAACUAGGGAGACUAGUUGCUCAUUGUACACACUAUUACAAAAAAAAAAAUUUUAACGUGUCUUACUUGGCACCUUGCUUGCAUGAGUAAGUACAAGUGUACAAUCUGUUUUAAAUUAUGUGUGUAUUGGUUUGUUCUAAUGGAUUGGUUUGUUUGAGAAAUAGAUCAAAACAACUAGAAAGAUCAUGCAUCAAAGAUAGAAAAUGGUGGUGAGUCUAGGAGGAUUUCUAGGUCUUUUAUACAAUGAUGUCAAUGUGACAUGUGAGCAUUUUCAUGGGAGAAAGAUAGAGAGAAAAAGAGAGAGGUAGGGGUGACAUGGAUGAAGUUACCAUUACCAAACAAUUUAAUAUCAUUUUAUUCCUCAAAUUAGUCACUUUAGUUCUUGAAAAAAAAAAGUGUUAUGGUUACUAUAAAUUAUAAAAAAACACCCCUAAAAUCUUCAUUUUUGACUCUUAUUAUGUAGAUAAUGAACAUCAUCUUAUUUUACUAACGAAGUUUGUAGAUGGCUAAAAGUAGGGAUUAACUUGGAUAACAUAAUUCAAUGUCAAAGAUUUAUUUUUCAUGUAUCUAAUUUUAGGAACUAAUAUUUUUUUAUUGGUAAGAAUUGAGCAUGGUAUUAAAAAAUUUACAAUACUCACACAUCUUACUCAACCAAUUAAGUUAGACCCCUUAAUAUUUUAGGAACUAUACCCCCACAAUUUUAGAGACUAAAAUGAUGAUUUGAUCCUUUUUAUUUUUUGUCGAAGAUGAAGAAAAAAGGAAGAAAAAAAGAUUUAGAUUUUUUAAAAAAUAUCUUUAUAUCUAUUCAUAACUUUUAAUCUUAAAUAAGAAUAUGAUGCGUUCUUUGUUAGUAAGAAGCAACAAAGGAAUAAGAAUAACAAAAAAGCACAUGAUAGGAAAUGAGAGCAACCAAGUCAGAGAAUAUCCUCUAGACUCCAAAUUUCAUUCAAAUCCCUCGUACCCCUUACAAUGACCGCCUUCCUUACAUAUAACUGAAUUCCCCUCUCCAUUGAUUUUCUCCUCUAACAAACUUAUUCCCCCUCUCACAAAAGGCUACUGCUAAAUAGACAAAUUUGCCCUCUUGGGCCUGAUGGCAUAUACUUGAUCAAAUCUACUCUUGGACUUUAAGUAUUUUGAGUUGCAAAAUAAUUUUAUAGGAUUUAAGUAUUUUGAGUUGUAAAAUAAUUUUAUAUUUUAUGAAUACUGUGAGUUAUUAAAUAAGUUAUGAGAUUAUAUUUUAUUAUGAAUGAGUUACUUAGGGGGUGUUUGGUUUGGUUAUUUUCUGUUUUCAUUUUCACCGAAAACAGAAAACGGUGAUGAAAAUGUGUUUGGUUGGAUUUCUGAAAACAUUUUCAGUGAAAAUGAAAACAGGAAACAGCCAGAAAAUGAAAACAAUAAAUUUUCGUUUUCAGUGUUUUCAGUUGAGAACAGAAACCUCAUUUCAGGUAAAAUAAAAUUGUGAUGACAAUGAAUGUAUUUUUAAACAAAUCUAAAAAUACAAAAAGACAAAAAGUCAAUAUAUCAUAAAUUUUCAGUAUUUUUAUUUCAUGAAAACAGAAAAUAAGAAGUCAAACCAAACAUAUUUUCAGAAUUCUAAUCUUUUGAAAAUGAAAACAAUUUUCAGAAAAUGAAAACAGAAAAUGAAAAUGCAAACCAAACACACCCUUAAAUUGCUUAAAGGUUUAUGACUUAUCUUUUUUUGUUUAUCCGAUAAUACAAUUUUUAAGUUUGAGGAUUUUAUUUUAUGGGAUUAUAUUUUAUUGUGAGUAUAUGUAUAAUAUUGAUUUUAAAAAAAUGUCCCUUACUAAUUUUUAAGUUUGAGGAUUUUUUUUUCAAAACUUAAAGAUGUGUUAAUUUUUUAACGGUCCAAUUCUAUAACCAACCCAAUCCAAUCUUAUAUAUAAAAGUUAGAUUAGAUUAGAUUGAGUUGUAAAAAAAAGGUAAGCUCAAUCUAACCCAAUCCAAUUAAAUUUAAUUAGAUUAGGUUGAAAAGGAAAUAAAACUUAACUCAAUCCAGCUCCUAAUCUAAAAUAUACAUACUAUGCCAACCUUCUUGGUAUUGGAUAGAAAUUUCACUAUUAAUUAAUAAUGUUGUAUUGUCUGCCAUAUUUUAGGUUCUAUAUUUGGUUUAAAGGUGGGAGGAAAAUAAUUUUAAUGAAAGAGGGAGAAGAAAAGAGAGGUGAUUACACGUUUUGUUUGGUUUAGAGAAGAAGAGAGAUUUUAAUAGAAUGAGAGAAAAUAAUCAUUUUCUUGUUUGGUUCAUAACUAGAGAAGGAAUUUUGAAAAUUAAUUUCCUUGCAUGUUUAUAUAAUUUUAUUUUCCAAAACAUAAGUAGAGAUAUUUUAGUUAAUACUCAUCAAAUAUGUUUUAAAUGUUUUUAUUUUUUUUCUCCCAAAAAUUAAACCAAAUUAUAAAAUUUUAUAAAAAUAUAUCCCUACAUCCCUCUUCCACCAUUUUCUUUUAACCAAACACUAUAUAUGUUAGAGUGAAUUAAUUAGAAAGAGAAAAAAAAAAACAAAAAGAAAGAAAGUAAUAAAUAUGAUAUAUAAUGUGACUAACAAGUUGAUCCGGUCAACGGUAAAAACAACUCAAAUUUAUUAAUAUAUUUUAAAAUAAUCUCAUUUUGGUAAUUAGUUUAUAAUUUCCCUUCUCAUCUUUCUCUCUUUUUUUUCCUACUUUGAAAGUAAUAAAUGUAAUACACAUUAAAUAAACACAUUCUAUUUGGAUAAUUAAAAAAAGUACAUAUCUAAAAUAUACUAUGCCAACCUUCAUGGUUUGGAUAAGAUUAUUUUUCCAAAAUCAAAUUCAGUUUCAGUCAAAACAAAAAAUAAUUAUUUCUACUUUUUCAUCAUAAUUUUGAGAACUUAAAUUGAUUCCAGUAGUUAUCCAAACACACCAAUAUAGGGUGGAUUCAAAAUGAAAGAAUAGAAGAAAAUAAAAGAUAGAAAAAGAAUAGUGUAAAUAUGAUAAAUGAUGUAACUAGUGAAUUGAUCAGGUCAAUGGUAAAAAGCAUCUAAAUCUCAUAAUAUAUCACAUUUUAGUCAUUAGUUUCUUAGAGUGUCCUGUUUUGGUGAACCAUUCCUUAGUAAAAUUACUCUUACCUUAAAGGACUUGCAUGUGUGUGUGUAUAUAUAUAUAUAUAUAUAUUAACUUUUGCAAAACUUUUGUUUGCGGCUAGUAAGAUCAGAGCCCUAUAAAAAUGUAGCCAAUAACCCAUAUUCCCACAUAUGUUCUAAAUCCACUAUUCAUCCAAAUGAAGAAUAUGUUUCUCAUCCUUUUCUUUUCUGCUCUUCUAAUUUCAUCCACUUCUAAUGCUUCUAACGUCAAUGAUUUCUGCGUAGCAGACCUCAAGGGUACAAAUAGCCCUUCUGGCUCUAACUGCAAGCCCGCUGAUACAGUAACAGCAAAUGACUUUGUCUUCACUUUUCAACCUGCAAACACAUCUAACCCUAUCAAAACUGGAAUCAGCACUGCAUUUCUUAAAGACUUUCCUGCUCUCAAUGGUCUUGACAUCUCUGCAGUACGUGUAGUUAUCGAUAAAGAUGGAUUUAUUCCAUUGCAUUCACAUCCUCAUGCCACUGAACUAAUAAUCGUGGUGGAAGGUCAAAUCACUGCUGGAUUCAUGGCAGCUACCAAAGCUUAUGUGACCAAGACACUGAAACCGGGAGAUCUUAUGGUUAUCCCACCAGGACAAUUGCAUUUUCUAGCAAAUUAUGAUCAAAGAAGAGCCACUGUUUUUGCUGCUUUUAGUAGCUCAAACCCUACUGUCCAUUCUUUUAAUAAUAUAUUUGCCAACAAUGUACCCUCUAAUGUACUUGCCCAAACUACCUUCCUUGAUGUUGCCCAAGUGAAGAAGCUUAAGGCUCGUUUCGGUGGCAGAAACUAGGAUAUUAUUGCUUGCUUAUUGAUUAAUUAGUUAGUUAAUGUGUUUGUUCCAAUGAUCAUAAACAAUAAACACUGAUUAUAUUCUUUUGUGUCUGAUAAGAUUAUAUAUACUCUUUCGAUCCCUUCAUCACUUAUAUACUAGAUUUUGAGUUCUCCCUUGAUUUUGUGCAUGUUCAGCUUUCAGGUGAUGCUUCAUGAACUUUGUAAUCUCGAUUAGUUGUUCUGGCUUUUAGCUGCCUUUAUGACAACAACAACAAAAAUGUUUAUGUAGACUUAAACUUGUGUUUGGAACGAGACCAAGUUGAUUUUCUUUAUGCCGAAAAGUUUUUGACGAGUGUACUACACAAGAUAAAGAUAAAAAAAUUAAAAUGGAGAAUUUUUUUUAAGAGUCGGUCUAUUCUAAUCCACAAUAUGAUAUCUGGAUGAUUUUCUUAAUUACAAAUAAUUAGGUAUGUUGAUAAACUACUCAAUAAACACCUUAGAAGAAUAAAAUAGAAUAACAAAUAAAAUAAAUAUUCAGUUAACUGCAAAACUCUUUGUUCUCCCUACAAGAAUGUUCAGUUGCCAUUCUUGUCAUCGACGAUGACAACCUCCGCAAGUAGGUCUUCGAUUCAACCCGCACAGUUCAGAGUCGUACAUGUAGAAGGUGCAUUAAAAUGUGGCAACUUGGACGGGGAACUUCUAUAUAAAAAAAAAAGGCUUGGACGGAGAGACGAGAAAAUGUUAGCGGUAGUUGGAGAGAGAAAGACAACAUUUUUGUGAAGAAAAAAUUGUGUCUUUUUCUUCUAUUACUGGGUUUUUUUUUUUUGCUGUGAAAGAACAAUCAAAGUAUUCAUUUGUCAACACUUCAGCACAUGUGUGUGAUUUGUCAUAUCAUGAUCACUUCAAUGUAUUUUAUUAAAUAAUAAAGACAAUUAGAUAAACAAACUCUUUAGUAUCUGAAAAUACUCAUUUAAUUGAUCCCAACACCCCAAUUAUUUGAUGAUAUUUAUGGUCAUAUAUCGAUUAUAUUUGCCCUUUUCGGCUUGAACUGGUUGAGAAUAUUUGAAUUUGAAUCCGUCCAUAACCAAUUACCCAUAAGCCUAAUUUACUUAUUCUGUAUGUAUGAAAAACAUGACCAUUAUCAACCAGACGAAGCUUACAAAUUUUUACCCCUUCAUGACACUGCGGUGUGUCAAAAGGAUUUGUAUUUGGACAAGAAAAUGGUACAAUAAUUUCCACACUAAAGGAAGAGAAGUGAAGGUAUUAAAAAAAAAGUAUGAGGUAAAAUAUCAAUAUGUUGAAAAGACAGAAAAACACAUAAUAUUAUAAAAUAUAAAAUUAAAUAUGUUCUUGGUAUUUACUAAUGUUUGUUUUUGUUCCUUAAAAAAUAUUUAUCAUUCAUGAAAAUGUGUUGCUCGCAAUUCUUAUAUAUUUUUCAUAUAUGAGUAUUUAUUUGUUAAAAACACAUUUCUAGAGCAAAUAAACAAACAAAAAAUGGCAUUUUACAUAUACUAAAAGUAAAUGUUCUGUUUACAUAAUCAUAGAUAUCUUCCUAAUAUGAAUACUUCUAUCACCUUAUGACCUUAAAAUUAUAAAUAAAAAAAAUAUUGUAUGAGUAAUUGUUGUAAUUUGUUCUAACAGUAAUGUAGUACUAUCAGUUAAGCUUAAUUUCAACACUCUACCCGACACAUGUUUAAUUUUACCUUUCUGUUUUGUUUUGUUUCCACUUAUUAGUGUAUGUAUUUAUUGUUACUACUAGUAGCCAAAUUCUCCGAAACAGGGCCAAACAAUGUGAGCAGAGAAACAUUACUACAGUAAUCUUUAUAGUUAGCAAACAUAUUCAUAACAAAUUACAUCUAAAAAAGAAUUAUUCCUUAGCGAAGUUUCUUUUAACUUGAUAGUUAGCAAACAUAUUUAUAGCUAAUGUAUCAAAAAUUCUUGUCCAUUCCUCGGUAGCUUGAAUAGUUGUGAUAUCAUCUAUGUCAAAUACUAAAUUUUCUACUGCACCCAUUCCCUUCCGUGUUAAUUCCUAUGGUUUUUAUGUACAAUAAUAUGUUACUUUUGCCUUUGUACAUUACAGAAUAAGCAAAACAGUGACAGCGUGACUAUUAAUUGCAAGUUGCAAUAUUCUUUUCUAUUUUCCUUUUGUUUUACACAUGAACAAUCCUGCAAAAUAAUAAGGUUAUUGCUGAGAUGACCUAAUCAUGCUCUAUUUUGGAAAUGAUGCGUUCUGGUAUUAAAAUAUGCUUUCUAUGAUUUUUAUUUUAUUUUUUUGUUCCUGGUUGCUUUAACCUAGUGUUUUGCCCCAUAGGUUAUCAUCAAUCACCAGGCUCUUCCUUGCCUUCUAAUCUAUUGACCAAUAAUUAUUAAAAAAGCAUCAAGAAGGAAGCUUGUUGGACCAUAUCAAACAUCACAACCGGUAAUAAACAGCAGAUUCAGGUAUAGUUACUUGUUCAUCAGUCCCUUCCCCUUUUGCAUAAUUGCAUGCACGUACAGAUUAUCAGAUGCAAGCCUGGACUUUUGAGUCUAUAGAUUAUUACAUUUUAACGAUGGAAAAAUGAAUUCAAAAGUCAAACUUAAUCAGAUUUUGCCAAAGGAGAAGAUAGAAGAAAAAUAAUCACGAUAGUAAUCAACCUGAGGUGGAAUGUGGAUUUCAGAAUAUGGAUUUUAUGAUUAUUGUAUCGUUAUGAAUCAUCAAACUAGUAAGGACCAAAAGUGGAAUUGUUGGUUGGUUAAAAGUCUUUAUUGGCAUUACUAUGUUAACACUUGACAUUAUUGGAGAAUAGAGACAAUAUUCUUUAACCAUUAGUAUUAGAGGCAUGAGGUAUUUUAGAUUCUUCAUCUUAAUGCCUAAGAUUAAAAUGGGACCUUGUAUACAAGGUUUGAGCCUGAAGCAUUCAUGUGAUCACUUACUAAUGCAGUUCUAAUUACUGAGAUUUCUCUUGUACUAUUAAAAACUCCUAUUGUGAUUUGUGCUAUAUCUUUGUUUCUUUCUCCUUUAUUCUAGAACUUAAAGUUAAUUAUUUUGCUGGCACAGGCAUUUGGUUGAUUGACACCAUAGAGGUCUUUAUCUGGGAGUUAAUGCAGAAUUCCAGAUCAUGUAUUUGCAUUUUUAAGAGCAAAUGCAUUUUUAUUCUUUCACAACGUAAAAGUAGCUUGUUUUAGGCACGUUUUAGCUCUACCGCACACUGUUUAAUUCCUUGAUCUGCAUGUUACUUGACUUAAAUACAAUUUGAGACUUACGGAUAAUGCAAUGGUACAACCCCUUUAUAUUUUCUGAUGACAUAAAACUGUACAAUUACUUGAAUUACAGUUGCUAAUUUUUCAAUCUUCAAUCAUUAUAGAAGCUUAAGGAACAAUCACAAGCUUCUUCUGUUCCUUUUCACAAACUUCUAAAAGUCAUAUAAACUCUCUCAUUCUUUAUUAUUCUCUAAAACUUCAAGGUUUUAUGGGCUUGGAUCUUUUUUAGAUAUUUUUUUAGAGAAAUUUAUCAGAGGGAACAAAUAACAAAUGCCAUUCAGCCUCCAAUGAAUUAAACACGGUGAAGAAUAAACACAAAGUGAAGAAACUAAAAUUCUAGAAGAAUAAACACAAGCACCAAAUUUGCAAAAAUGCUCACAGUACAAAUUAAUGAAAUCAAACAAUGAAUAUCCACAGUACAAAAUCAAUGAAAUCAAACAUUUAAAUAAAAAAUAAAUCAAAAAUUAACGAAAAAAAAAUGAAUACACUGUGGCACAGCGAGAGUGUGGAUUGAAAUCGCAAGGAAAACUUACUUGUGAGCGAACGUUAUGUGUGGUGCGUGAGAGUGACUGAGAGGGAGAGAGAGCUACGGAGAGAACUAGUGUACUAAGAGGGAGAGAAAGCGCUAGCGUCGUGUGCGUGAAAGUGACUGAAUUUGAUUUUGAAAAAAUAAUCUUAUCCAAACACCUUUUAUACGUUACCAUGAAGGUUGGCAUAGUAUAUUUUAGAUAUGUCCUUUUUUUAAUUAUCCAAAUAGAAUGUGUUUAUUUAAUGUGUAUUACAUUUAUUACUUUCAAAGUAGGAAAAAAAAGAGAGAGAAAGAUGAGAAGGGAAGUUUGAAUAUUUUUAUCCAUUAGAGAAAUGCUUACCCGGAAGAGAAUAUAAAUUUAAAGGUAAGUAAUUGUAUUAAAGGCUGGUUGACCAAAGUAGGGGUACUAUUAUAAACUAAUUAUCAAAAUGAGAUUAUUUUAAAAUAUAUUAAUAAAUUUGAGUUGUUUUUACCGUUGACCGGGUCAACUUAUCAGUCACAUUAUAUAUCAUAUUUAUUACUUUUUUCUUUUUGUUUUUUUUUUCUCUUUCUAAUUAAUUUACUCUAACAUAUAUAGUGUUUGGUUGAAAGAAAAUGGUGGAAGAGGGAUGUAGGGAUAUAUUUUUUUAUAAAAUUUUAUAAUUUGGUUUAAUUUUUGGGAGAAAAAAAACAUUUAAAAUAUAUUUGAUGAGUAUUAACUAAAAUAUCUCUACUUAUGUUUUGGAAAAUAAAAUUAUAUAAACAUGCAAGGAAAUAUCUCUACUUAUGUUUGAUGGUUUGUUCGGUUGAUCUUUACAGUAUUAGAGACGGGUUAUUGAGACGAAAUGUCCUAUGUCUAAUAAAUGUUAACUGAUGAUAUUUAUCUUGAUUACUAGUUUCUAAAAGUGUCCUAAUUAAUUUGAUCAAUCAUUUUUUUUAUAAAAUUACUCUUUUCUCAUUCUUUUCUUUUCCGCUCUUCUUUCAUCCACUUCCUAUGCUUCCAAUGUGAAUGAUUUCUGUGUGGCAGACCUUAAAGGUCCAGAUAGCCUUUCUGGCUAUCCUUGCUUGCCACCUACAACACUUACAGAUGAUAACUUUGUGUUCAAUCUUCAACCUGCAAACACCUCACAGUUCCCUACUAUCAAAGCUGGAAUUAGCACUGCAUUUGUUAAUGAAUUCCCUGCCCUCAAUGGUCUUGACAUCUCUGUAGCGCAUGUAGCUUUCGAAAAAGAUGGGUUUUUUCCAAUGCAUUCUCAUCCUGAUGCCACUGAACUAAUCAUCUUGGUGGAAGGUGAAAUCACUGCUGGAUUCGUCACCGGUAUGAAUUCGAUUGCUUAUCUGAAGACGCUGAAACCCGGAGAUCUUAUGGUUAUUCCACCAGGACAUUUGCAUUUUGUAGCAAAUUCUGGUAAUGAGAAAGCCACUGGUUUUGCCACUUUCAGUAGCUCAAACCCUACUAUCCAUUCAUUCAACAAUAUAUUUGCCAACAAUAUACCUUCUGACAUACUUGCACAAGCUACAUUUCUUGAUGUUGCCCAAGUCAAGAAUCUUAAGGCUCGUUUUGGUGGCAGCAACUAGUAUGAUUAAUUGCUAGCUUAUAAUUAAUUAUGUGCUGGCUCCAAUGGUUUUUCUUUUUUAUAAGAUGUGUUUGCUCCAAUAAUCAUCAACAAUAAAGUUAUUUACUUGUAUGUUUCCCUUUUUCAUUUUUUGUCCAAUCUCAAAUCUUAAUAUACUUGUUGGCUCCCUGACUGCGAACGAAAUAACUACAAGGAAAUAACCCCGGAUAGGUGAAGAAAGAAAGAUCGACAAGCAUUCGAAUUUUUCAUAAUAAAAGCACACUUUAUUUUAAUUUAGUUUUUGUUGAUUUAUUUUACUUGCAUUUUUUUUAUCAAUGGAAAGAAUAAAAAAGAAGUAGGCAGAAGAAAACUAAUGGCAGCGGACAUUGGUCACAACUCACAAGUCUGAAAACUGGGCGAUGAUUGGCCACCUUACUUUGCUAACUAGUCGGCUAUCUUUUUCCUUCACUAAAAGUGUGAGAGAAUUGAAUAUUUCAUUGUUGUUGCUUAAAGGAAUGAAUCUUUGUAAUGAGAGUUGCGUAUAUGGAUGACAUGAAUGUACUCCAAGAUUGAUAAGCUCCAAAGGGACUUUUGAAUCCAUUUCACAUAUAAUAUGAUGCGCACCCAGGGAAUGCCAAGAACCAACGCAAAUAGUUCUGUAUGAAGGGAUGUAAUAACCCCACAUGAUCAAUAGAAACGUGUUACUCAUUCACCAGUUGUGUUCUUCCUAAUUACUCCUCCGACGCCUACUUUGCCCAGAUUCCCAAGAGGAGAACCAUCAGUGUUCAACUUCAAGAAAUUUGGUGGUGGCAGACUCCGUGAGAUAUAGAUAACUGAGUUGUCCCUAUUGUUGGAACACACACUGUUCCUCACUUAAUUGCAAGAGAUGCAAUUCACUCCCUCACACAUUCCCUCGUGUAUCACUCACUGUUUUCUAAGCAUAGAAUUGCACACACACUAGGAAUAGCACUAGAGACUGAAAAUGAUAGAAUGAAAACAACACUUUAUUAAGAUGUAUGAUUGCCCUUUUAUACAAGCAAAACAAAGUAACAACCCUUCACUCUUAGGUUAGCACUUAUAACAGAAUUUUAAAAUUCUGCUACUCUCUCUUAUAUACAAAGCCAAAACAGAAUUAAACUCUCACACCCUCCCUUAAUUCUGAUCUCCUAAGUCCAUCAAGCCAAUUCUGUCCCUUAACAUUUUAAACCUCUCCCCUUUGAGAGGUUUGGUUAAAAUAUCAGCAAGUUGAUCAAAUGUGCAGCAGUACUCCACUUUUAAUUUCUCUUUGUUCACUUGAUCCCUAAGAUAGUGAAAUUAAACCUUGUUUCUAUGUGUUUGCUUCUACCAUGAGAGGUUGGAUUCUUUGAUAGGCUUAUAGCUGACUUAUUAUCCACAAAAAGCUUCACUCCAUCACUCUCCUUGAUUUUUAAUUCCUGUAGUAAUGUGUCCAACCAGACAGCUUGACAAGCACUCAUUGCAACUGCAACAUACUCAGCUUCACAUGUUGAUAGAGCCACUAUGGAUUGCUUCUUAGAACACCUCGAUAUUGGUGCUGCACCAUACAUGAAUAUGUAACCUGUAGUACUCUUUCUGUCAUCUCUGUCUCCUCCCCAAUCUGCAUCAGUAUAUCCCAUCAAUUCCUCUGAGUUGCUAUUGUCUUUAUUUGGAAAUAAAAUUCCAGCAUUGAUGCCCCCUUUUAUGAACCUUAGAAUCCUCUUGGCAGCUAAGAGAUGAGGAAUUCUGGGUCCUUUCGUAUAUCUACUUACCAGUCCAACAGCAAAUUCCAAAUCAGGUCUUGAAUGACACAAGUACAUGAGAGAACCAACAAUCUGUUUGAACUCAAUUGCAUCGACUUUGUCUUCCUUGCCCUCCUUUUCAAGUACAAGACCUGCCUCUGUUGGUGUUGCUGCUGAAUUACAUUCAACCAUGUUGAAUCUCUUCAAUAUUUCUGUUGCAUACUUGCUCUGGAGCAUCAAAAUACCUCUCUCAGUCUUCUUGAAUUCAAGUCCAAGGAAAUAGGAUAGAACCCCCAUAUCAGUCAUUUCAAACUCACUCAUCAAUUCCCUUUUUAGUUCUGCUAUUUCACUUUCAUUACCACCAGUGAUCAACAAAUCAUCCACAUAGAGGCAUAUAAUAAUGAUAUUACCUACUGACUUGGAUCUUACAUAGACUCCAAACUCACAGCUACACUUAUCAAAGCCAAUUUUCAUCAUAAAACUGUCAAUUUUAUUGUUCCAAGCUCUUGGGGCUUGCUUAAGUCCAUAAAGAGCUUUUCUCGACCUGAGAACCUUUGACUCUUGGCCAGCUAUAGAGAAUCCAAGUGGCUGAGUAACAUAGACCUCCUCAUCAAGAGGACCAUUUAAGAAAGCACACUUCACAUCUAGUUGGUGCACUGUCCAAUUCUUUAGGCUAGCAAUUGCCACUACUGUUCUAAUAGUCUCAAUUCUAGCAACUGGUGCAAACACCUCUCUGUAGUCAAUCCCAACUUUCUGCAAAAAUCCUCUAGCCACAAGUCUAGCUUUAUACUUGACCACCUUGCCUUCUGGAUUUGUCUUAAUCUUAUAGAUCCACUUCAUAUCAAUGGGCUUCUUUGAUUUUGGUUGAGAUACCAGCUCCCACACUUGAUUUUUCUCAAUAGAUUUAAGCUUUUCUAUCAUAGCUUCAACCCACCUCUGAUCAGUCAUAGCAUCUUCAAAGUUUAUUGGUUCUGCUUCAGAAAACAGAGCAAAAUGUACAAGAUUCCCAUCUGCACUUACAUCAGCAUCAAACAACAUCUCAAAACCUUGAAAUCUAGCUGGUUUGGGUGCAUUUCUCUGGGGUCUCACUUCUCUUUGAGUGGUAUUACCAUUCCCUUCACUUGUUUCUUCCUCUUCUGACCUUAUCAUUAUUGAAGGUCCUUUCAUUUCAGUAUUCUGCUCCCAGUUCCAGCUUCUAGAUUCAUCAAAUACCACAUCCCUACUAAUUAUUAUCUGCUUACUCUUCGGAUCAAACAUCUUAUAGCCUCCAGUUGAGUGAUAUCCGAGUAAGAUCAUUUGUUCACCUUUAUCAUCUAGCUUCCUUCUUAACUGAUCUGGGAUAUGCCUAAAACAAAGUGAUCCAAAGAUUCUGAAAUGGCUCACAUUUGGUUUAGCACCACUCCAAGCUUCUUAAGGUGUUAUUCCUUCCAAUCUCUUUGAAGGGCUCCUAUUCAAGAUGAAGACAGCUGUAGACACUGCCUCUCCCCACAAGUACUUGGGCAGACUCUUGCCUUUCAACAUGCUCCUUACCAUAUUCAUUAUGGUUCUGUUUUUUCUUUCUGCAGCUCCAUUAUGUUGAGGUGUGUAGGGAGGAGUCACUUCAUGAAUUAUGCCUUCUUGAUCACAAAAUUCUUGAAAUUCUAUAGAAACAUAUUCACCUCCACCAUCUGUUCUUAAUAUCUUGAUCAAUGAGUCACUUUGCUUUUCUGCCAUAUUUUUGAACUUCUCAAAGACUUCAAAGACAUCACUCUUCCUUCUUAUUAGGUAAACUCAUACUUUCCUAGUCAAUUCAUCAAUAAAGGAUAUGAAGUAUCCGUUUCCACCCAGAGAUUCAGUUUGCAUAGGGCCACACACAUCAGAGUAAAUCACCUCAAGUUUCUCUUUUGCCCUGAUUGGUACAUUUUGUUUGAAAGUGCUUCUUGAUUGCUUACACUGUAAAUCAGCUGUAGACACUGCCUCUCCCCACAAGAAUGUGAUAACUCAUUCCCUGUGUGUUGUUUCUUUUUGGAUCUUGUGAUGAUCUCGAACCUUGUGUUUGUGGGAACAAAUGGUUAGGUGGAUAGCUUUAGAAAACCUCGUGCUAGAGGACGCCGAGACACAAUGCUCUGAUAGGACGUGACACUGGGACAUGAGUUUAAGCAUUAAUUACAUAAAGUUCUCGACAUGUAGUUUUUAUCAUUUUUGUUUCACAUGUUGAGUCUUUAGUUCAUUCUCUGGAGUUUUGGAUGACCUUGUUUUGAGCCGGAAAUGUUUUCAUACCCCUAAUUGAUAAGUUUUUUUAAUUUGGUGACUAAUGUGAAUAUGAACCUUUUACCCACAUGAACUCCUUAUAUUUAUUGAAUAAAAUCAUUUCAUGUAAUUCUGUAUUUCCAUGUAUUUUAUUAUAUAAAUAUGUAUAUCGGGGUAGAGGGUGUUAGAGUGUGUAUGUAAUAGAUUAUGUUUGUCAUUGUACAACAAUAAUAUAUAUUUUAAAUUCUAACUUAAGGUAGUUUAUAUAUACUUUCUAAAAAAAUAUGUUGCAUGCUCAAAUUUUAAACAAGUUCAUAGUUAUGCUUCUAAAUAUGAUGAAUUUUAUUAAACAUUAAAUUUUAAGUGUACAAGUUUACAUAUUAAUUUUUUUUAAUAUAGACCGAGUCAUGUGGGUCAACUAAUGACUCAUUGGGUCACUGGGUCACUGGGUGACCUAGUACCCCGAUUGAGUCAAUGAAAAAUUCGAGUAUGAUAAUACUGCUACAGGACCAAACCCACAUUGUACCUAAUAUGGGAUUAGGGCCAUUAAUGUUAUUUUUAAAAGUGAUUUUUUUCCAACUGUCCAAAAAAUAAUUUUAAAUUAAUCGACUAGGAUUAAUUUUAGUCGACCUCAACUAGGAUUAUUUGCUACCGACCUUGACAAAGGCUAUUUUUGGACGACCUCAAUGCGGAUUUUUUCCCCACCUCGUUCAAAGCAUUUUUUAUUGACCUUCGUCAAGGCAAUUUUGGACUGACCUUGUUAGGGUUGUUUUGGUCGACUUCGAUCAGAGCUAUUUUUGGUUGAACUCAAUCAAGGUUGUUUUUGGCUGACCUCGGUCAUGACUAUUUUUGGUCAACCUCGGCCAUGACUGUUUUCAGUCUACCUUGGUAGGGGUCGUUUUUGGCUAAACUUGGCUAGGGUUAUGUUCGACCAAUAUCAGCUAGGGUUAUUUUUUACCAACUCCGACCAGGAUUGUUUUUUGUCAACCACACCCAGGGUUAUUUUCUAUUGACCUCGAUCAAGUCUAUUUUUGGUUGACCUUGGUUGAGGUUGUUUAUGGUCGACCUCAACAUGGCUCAUUUUGGUUGACCUUGGCUAAGGUUAUUUUUUGUCAACCUCGGUUAGAGUUGUUUUUGGAUGACAUUGACGAAACUCUUUUUGGAUGACCAACCUAGACUAGGGUUAUUUUUGGCCAACCUCAACUACGGUUAAUUUUGGCUAAUCUCGCCUAUGGUUAUUUUCAGGCGAUAUUGUGUACGAUUAAUUUUGGCCAACCUCGGUUAUGGUUAUUUUUGGCCAACCUUGGUUGAGGUUAUUUUCAGCCAACCUCGACUAGGGUUAAUUUUGGCCGAUCUUGGCUGAGGUUAUUUUCGGCCAACCUCAACUAGGGUUACUUUUGGUCGAUUUCAACUAACCUCUUUUAUACAAUUUUUUACAUGCUCUACUAUAUAAAAAUAAAGAAGUAUGAUAUUGAAAUAUAUAUUUGAAUUAUGAGAAUUGAAAAGAAGGUCUAAUUUUUCGGCCCAUGGGCUAGUCCUAGCCCAUAAGCCUUUGUGGGCUUUUUCGCCCUAUGGGCCAUUUAUAUAUGUGGCCCAUUUUGGCCCUAGCCCACAUGGGCCAAGGCCAAAUGGGUUAGGGUUAGCUUAUUUGACAAGUCUAGUUAUUUGAUUCCACCACAAAUAACACAACGAAAUCAUGCAAUUACCCUUUUAAGCAACAACAUUAUGAUUUCGUUGUGUUUUUAAAAAAAUAGUUUUUUUACAAGAAAUUUUUUGUUUUCGUAAAAGUAAACUUUAAUGUUUUAUAUUGUGAUUUAAUAAUCAUAUUUAUGAUGGUAUGACAAGCCAACAGUGUCCUAGCUUGAUGCAAUGUGAAUCGUUUAUUUUGUCGGUGCAAUCUUGGUUGUUGCUGAUAAUUGACUCACGAUAGAACAAUACAAUAUGAUAAUAAAUACGAUUGGUAUGAGGAUGCUCAAUGCAUUGUGUUGGAUCUUUCACUAUAUUAGGUUGAAGAUGGAGGGGAGUAGUUGCUAUUGUGUAUUAUGAUGGUGAUGUGGUACAAACUUCUGAGGAGGUAUAGUUUGAAUGUCUAAAUGGUCCUAAAUUCAUAAAAAUUAGUGAGGAAAUGUUGCUUAUUGCUUUGAGGAAAGUAGUCACAAAUGUCAUCAAAGGCAAAAGAAGCAGGCAGAAGAAGCUUAUUUGAGGUUUUUUUUUAUCGUAAACAUAUAUAUGUAGGUAAUGGUUGUGCUUAGUAUGACUGCAUGGAGCUUAAAGACACAAUGAAGUGGGGAAAGCGUUUUUCAUCUUUUCAUAAUUUAGUUCUAAAGGUCUGAUCAAGUUGUAUGCAAUGGUUAGCUAUCUCCAAAAGAAUUCUUUGCCCUGGUGAGAAACCAAGAAAACCAAGACCUACCGAAGAAAUCAUUUCUAUGAUGUGUGGAUCAAUGGUGACAACAAGCUCUAAUGAAGAUCAUAACUCUAUUUAGUCAUGUUUUAAUUGAUGAAAUUUAUGUCAGUUUUGGUUGUUGUUGUUGUUGUUGUUUGUUUUUUGAAUUAAAUUGAAAUUUCGUUCUUUAUUACAUUAAUAGGCGUGUGUCAUUUAAACAUAUAAACAAGGCAAACAAAAACUACUAAAAAUAAGUUUUUAUAAAAAACAUCAUAAGUAAAAUACAUAAUAAUACAAAAUGAUUGAAAAAAAUCAUCAAAUGUCUUCAAGUGCCCUUAUGGCCACCUCCUCUGCCACCUUUGUUGGCUUUCUUCCUCGGCUACUCCUCAGUGACCUACAUCCAGCUGCAAGACCAUCGUGUGCCAUCAGCAGAAGUUGUUGUUUGACCUGAUGACUAUUUAUGCCUUUAGGUACAACUCUCAUGUCCAUUAGUCUCUAUGUGUACGCUGACAUCAUUUGGAAUCAAUCCUACAUAAAUAAAACAAUACAAUUAGUAAUUAUUUUUUUAUUAAAAAUAAAACAAAAUGAUGAAAAUAUUGUUUGCAUUACUUGAUAGGAGUAAACAACCCCUGAUACAUAAUCUAGCAUCUGAACACCACUAGCUCGUGGCCGAGGUUGAGGAGAAAUAUGUAUUAGGACUGUGUGGUGGCUCUCCCUCCUGUGGUGAAAGCAUGUAUGGAUGUGAAUGCUCUUAAUACCAAGGCAGGUAGUAUCGAGUGCAAGCCCAUGGAGCCCCAUGUGGAACAACCUUGACCACUGCCACUGCAUGCUUAUCUCACUCGGCCCAUGUCUGACAAUAAGGCUCAUAUUCUUUAGGAUGCUCAAAUGGGUCCAAGGGAAUCCAUUGUACGUACCCAAACUAUCUCAAAACCUUCUUUGAUAGAUAUAACCACAUGUAUAUCCUAACUCCAAUGUAGGCAGGGUACGAUGUCUAGUCGUCAAAAGGUAUGAGGUCUUUGGGUGAUGCAUAUUGGGACCAGACAACAUCAGUCAUCUAUAGCCUAUCCAAUAACUCCCUAGUCCCAACAACCUUGUUAGUACCCCUCAACGGCAUGUUGCGAUGCUUGCGGUCAUGAUCCAACACCUUUUCACUACAAGGAAUGGUCGAAAAAGGCUCAAACACCCAUGCUUGUAAAACAUGAAAUAUAUUUUUAGCAUCAAGUAGUACUAAAAAAAACAUCAAUUAUGUAUACAAAAUUAAAUUGUUCUUACUAUGAGUAGAGUCAUAUAAGCUCACAUAUGUUUGUUGGUAUACUUGUAAGCAUAUGUCAAUUGGUCAUAAAGAUAAGCCAACGUAGUUGCCCCCAAGCGUACUUAUAGCAUCAAUCCAAAUCACCGAGGUACUAGAGGUAGCAGAUGUGUACACUCGUCAAGUUCUUCUCGACAAAUAUGGUAUUGUCAAGCAAAUGCAGAAAAUACACCUUGGCAACCCAAACAAAUGACUCAUUGGAAACGUAACUGUGAUAAGGCUCUCUAACAAACUCAGAGGCACCUUAUUGCUUGAUGACGUUGCAACAUCUACCUCCUGGUCCAUCAUAAUUCCAAGCUCUAACCUUACUAGACCUCUAAUCUCCUUUGUGGCGUAGGUCGUGUCUGUUUGAUCAAGAAAACAAACGAUGAUAGAAAGAUGUAAAAGGCAUGACAAAUAAUUAAGGGUAAUGGUCAUCUCUCUUAUAGAAAGGUGGAAGGAGGAGGUCACACUGUGCCAUCUCUCAAUAAAGACAUUGACUACGCCUUUAUUUGUGGACAUGUACCGCGCAUCAUACAGGCCCUUUAGCCUUGACCUAUCCACGUACCUCUUCAUCAUUGAAUUGGUGGGGUAGUGCAUAACCUUGCCACCAUGGCUGACCAGCUUCAGCUCAUCUUUGGGUUGACUGAUCCAUACAUGGCCAACUAUGUGGUCCUUAUAGGAUCGAAGCAGACUCAAAUACAUAAGACUUCCUCCAAUUGGGGAUUUGAUGAUAUGGUUAGUAGGCGAUAUUUGUGGUUGUUGUGGCUUUGGUUGUGCCUUAGGCUAUGGCUCCGGUUGUGCCUGUGCCUCCGGCUCUUGUCAAGAAGCCUUUGAAUCACAACAUGCUGACAUAGUCACGCGUUGCCUCUGAAACUCAACAUCUGAUACAAAGGCAAUAAGCUUUGUGUGAUCCAUCUAAAAAGGGUAGGAAUAUCAAUUAAACAAUAAAUUAGAUAAUUUAAAAACAAAAAAUUGAUGAAUAACACAACAAAAUCGUAUUUCUGUUAUGGUUUUAUAAAAACAACAUAUCAAAAAUACGAUUUUAUUGUGCUAUUUGAUAAAUAAUACAACAUAACCGUAUUUUAAUUGUACUUUUUUCAAAACGAAAAAAAAUAACACAAUGGAAGUGUGAUUCCGUUGGGUUCUAGGUUCAUAAUCACAAUAGGAUCGUACUUCCAUUGUGUUUUUGUUUUGUUUUGAAAAACACCACAACAUAGUUACGAUUCAGUUGUGAUUUUCAACACAGGACAUAAUGGAACUAGUAUUCCAUUGUAUUCUGGGUUGAGAAUCACAAUGAAAUUGUACUUUUGUUGUGGUGUUUUCCAAAACAAAACAAUAAAACACAACAAAAGUAGGAUUCCGUUGUGAUUCUCAACCCAGAACACAACGAAAUCACACAACUAUUGUGUAUAAAAAAGAAAAAAAAUAACUUAAUAGAGCUCCAAAAUGAGAAAUGAAUGGAGAAGAGAGAAGGGUCUUCGACGAAAAUGAGAAAAUGAAAGGGAGCGGGAAAGAAUGAAGGAAGAGAAUGAGAGGGAGUGGGAUUGAAGGGACUUGGAUGAGAGGAAGAAAAUGAGAAGGAGUGAGUGAGAUAGAGAGAGGGAGAGAAAGAGAGAUGUUUAAGAGGAAGGGGAAAGGGUGGGGGUGAGAAGAAGGGGUGGGCAGAUGCGAAAGGGAAGGGGUGGGGGUAAGGGGAAAUUUCCUUAAGGACAAUUUCAUAUUUCCAUUACCAUUUUCAAAAAUGGUAGUGCCAAUAACAGUGGGAGGUAGUGAGAAUAACAAUUCCCAAAUAAGUGGAUUAUGCAAGCUAGCCUAUGAGCCCACAGAAUACGUCGUCAAGUCCACUGGUUUCAUGGGCCAAACUCAAGUAUUGCCUAUAGUUAUGUGGGUUAAAAAAAGCAGGUUCGUUAUCCACGCGGUCCGCUGGCUUAACGGGCUGACCCACGAACUUAGGCCCAUAUACCCACCUCUAGUGAUGGCGAGAUGAGGACGACAAUGAUAAUGACUACGAUAGCAACAAAAUAGUGAUAGUAGUGAUAUUGAGUGGUAGUAGAAAUAGUGGAGUGACAGUGAUUUCCUAUUUAAACGCCCAAGGUGGCUUUCCUAGUCCAAAAUUCGUUACACUAAAAAAGUGGCUCAAUAGGCCUAGAACGGGUGGAAAAGAAAAGUAAAUUUAAAUAAUAAUUGUAUAAUAUUUUUAUAUUAAAUAAAAAGUAAAUUUAUCUUUUAAAAAAACAUCAUCCCAUUUAAUGGUACAUUGAUAUUUUUUUUUACUUUUAUAUAAAAAAUAAAAUAAAAAAACUAACAAUCCUCCCCUCAGCUUGCUUGUUUUAAAAAAUAAAAUAAAAAACAUCAUCCCAUUUAAAUGAAAUUUGUUUUUAUUUUUAAUUAUUCAAAGACGGUCAUUAUAAUAAGACCGUCUUUGUAUCAGCUUGCUUGUUUAUUAAAGGCGGUUAUUUCAAUAAUCGUUGUUGUCAACUUUUAGAAAAUUACAAUAAUGCCACCGCUAUUAUUUUUACAACGUGUGAUAUUCAACCGUGGUAAGUGUGAUGUCGUAAAAUAACAUUAUUGUAGUAGUGUUAAUAUAUUUUAACUUUAAAAAAAACUUCUGAAUUUUACUUUAUAAAUUACUGGUCAGUAAAAUACAACGAAGGCCUUAGAUCCAUGUUGAAGGAAUGACAAUCGGAGAGUGGAGGCAUAAUCUACUACUCCUACUUUGACACUUUUGCCUGCCAUCAACGACCUUAUUCAGACUCCAGCUUCUUAUGGUACCAUUUUAUACCUACAAUAACAUAUCCAAAUAAGUUCUCAGUUAUCAGCCCUUCCUAUUGUGCUCCUAAGGCUCUUAACUUACAAAUUAACACAAAGAAAGGUGUCACUUAUGACGUAAAGGGUAACCGUGUAUUUUAUAUAAAAGAUACUUUGUUCACAUUUCACGGUCGUCGUGUGUUAUGUGAUGAUAAAGGAAACCCCAUCGUCACUCUAUAUAAGAAGGUAUGUUACUGAUCUAGGAGACAUCUUAUACUCAGCGAUUUUUUUUCUAUUAAUUAAAUUAACUAAAUUGAUAUUAUAUAUUCUUAAUUUUUAUUUUUUAUCAGCAAAUAUUAAUUAUUAAUUUUGGUAGUUUUUUUAGUGAAAUAAAUUUGAAUCCAUAACCUCUCUCUUUUCUUCUUUCUUUAACUAUCAAAUCAAUCUUAUAUAAUUUAGUAUUCUUAAUUUUUGUUUAUAUGUAGAAUGUGACAUUGCACGGGCAAUGCAAAGUUUUCAGGGGUAAUACCUCUGAGUUGCUCUUUUCGGUGAAGAGAUCGUCAAUAAUCCCGAGUGGGAAUAUGCUUAGAUUAGAUGUCUUCCUUGGAAACAAGAGAAAAGGAAGCAUGUGUGAUUUUAGAGUCAUCGUUCGUGGAAGUAAAAAUUCAUGCACUAUUUAUGCCGGUGAAUCUCCAACUAUUGUUGCCAAGGUGUGUAUUGCAUGUGUUCUGGGCAUGUUUUUAUAUACACAUUAAUUUAAUUGCCUAUCUAGUAUGGGUUUGGA
rnacentral:lncRNA from 1 species